rnacentral:rRNA from 2 species
GUGAACAUACCUACAACUGUUGCUUCGGCGGGUAGGCCGUCCCCUGAAAAGGACGCCUCCCGGCCCGGACCGGACCCCCCGCGGGACCGGACCCGGCGCCCGCCGGAGGAUAACCAAACUCUAUUGUAACGACGUUUCUUCUGAGUGGCAUAAGCAAAAUAAUCAAAACUUUUAACAACGGAUCUCUUGGUUCUGGCAUCGAUGAAGAACGCAGCGAAAUGCGAUAAGUAAUGUGAAUUGCAGAAUUCAGUGAAUCAUCGAAUCUUUGAACGCACAUUGCGCCCGCCAGCAUUCUGGCGGGCAUGCCUGUUCGAGCGUCAUUUCAACCCUCAAGCUCUGCUUGGUGUUGGGGCUCUACGGUCGACGUAGGCCCUCAAAGGUAGUGGCGGACCCUCCCGGAGCCUCCUUUGCGUAGUAACAUUUCGUCUCGCACUGGGAUCCGGAGGGACUCUUGCCGUAAAACCCCCCAAUUUUCCAAAGGUUGACCUCG